UGGGGGUAUAGCUCAGCUGGUAGAAUGUGUGCCUUUCAUGCACAAGGCCCUGGGUUCAAUCCCCAGCAUCACAA